rnacentral:ncRNA from 1 species
UGAACCCAUAAACAGAGAGAUCAGCACUUCCCUUAAUAAGAACAGAAAAGUUCUUACAGUACAUAAAUUGUUUAAGCAUUGUUACCUACUUUGUGACACUAAAGAUGUGCCUAU